rnacentral:rRNA from 1 species
AUGUCGAUGCCGUGGCCGAUCGGCCCUGAUGCGCCGCCGCCCUCCGGACCCUUGUUGUCGUCCAUCGGGUCGCGCAGGGGAGCGAGUGUCGGAGCAGCCUUGGGCGCGAGCGCCUGCUCCUCCUCUGCCGCGGGUCGCGCCUGUUGGAGUUCGGCGACCGCGGUGGAGAGCCUGUCGACGCGCCGUUCCAGCUCCGGGCGCCAGGCGACCAGAUCCUCCAAUUUGGCCGCCGUCGAACGGAUAUCCGCCAGGAUUCCGCCUAGCGAGGAGGUCAACUUGUCGAAAUAUUCCUUGAAGGCGGGAUCCAUGGCGCUGAUUCGAUCCCUGAUCGAUUUUUGCCGCCGCGUCUCGAUGAGGUGCGCCAGCCUCAAAUCCAAGGCUCUGAAUACCAGACGUUAG